rnacentral:rRNA from 1 species
GUUGUUCGGAAUUACUGGGCGUAAAGGGUCUGUAGGUGGCCAACUACGUCAUACGUGAAAUCCCUCAGCUUAACUGGGGAACUGCGUCUGAUACUGGUUGGCUUGAGUGCAGGAGAGGAACGCGGAAUUCCAGGUGUAGCGGUGAAAUGCGUAGAUAUCUGGAGGAACACCGGUGGCGAAGGCGGCGUUCUGGACUGCAACUGACACUGAAAGACGAAAGCCAGGGGAGCAAACGGG